AUACGGAGGGUGCAAGCGUUAAUCGGAAUUACUGGGCGUAAAGCGCUCGUAGGCGGCUUGUUAAGUCGGAUGUGAAAGCCCCGGGCUCAACCUGGGAACUGCAUUCGAUACUGGCAAGCUAGAGUAUAGUAGAGGCAAGUGGAAUUCCGGGUGUAGCGGUGAAAUGCGUAGAUAUCCGGAGGAACAUCAGUGGCGAAGGCGACUUGCUGGACUAAUACUGACGCUGAGGAGCGAAAGCGUGGGGAGCAAACGGGAUUAGAUACCCUAGUAGUCC
rnacentral:rRNA from 1 species